rnacentral:lncRNA from 1 species
GGAGGAUCUCCGUAGGGCUGAAGCCGGUGGGUCAUGCUGCUUACUGUAGCUGGUUUUUGAUUAGUCUGCGUUGCCCAGAUGCUAUUGCACUGGGUGGUAAAAUGGCCUAGAUUAUUAUCUCUGUGCCUCUAGGAGCUGGCACUUCACCUGCCUAACAUGGAAUGCUGCUUCUUAAAUGGCGUUAGAUUGGAUUCUGGUGAAUUAAGGACUGUUCACAAAUCUGGAACAGAAACAAAUGAUCACUCCGUAACAAGAACUCCAAGGAACAAGUGAUGCUCUGCCUGUACCCCUGCAAGCUUACUGGAGCCAGGGACAACCAGACAGGAGUCUAACAAAGCUGUCCUCUCAGAAGCUUCAUCCCGCAGCUGAUGAAACCAGAUACAGAGACCCACAGCCAAACAAAAGGAGGAGCUCUGGGAGUCUUGUGGAAGAGUGGGAAGAAGUAUUAAGGGAGACAGAGAGGUCAAGAACACCAUAAGAAUACCUAAAGAGUGAACUAACCUGGGCCAAUGGGGAUGUCACAGGGACUGAACCACUAACCAAAGAGCAUGCGUGGGUUACUCCUAUGUAGCACACGCGGA